GAGUUUAUGCCCGCGAGGGAGACCUCCCACCCUUGCCUAUGAAUACUUUGUUGCUUUGGCGAGCCGCCCCCCGGGCUCCGCGCUCGCAGAGGAUGCACAAACUCUGUNNAUCAAUAUCGUCUGAGUACUAUUAAUAGUUAA
rnacentral:rRNA from 1 species